rnacentral:rRNA from 1 species
UCCAGACUCCUACGGGAGGCAGCAGUGGGGAAUAUUGCACAAUGGGGGAAACCCUGAUGCAGCAACGCCGCGUGAGUGAAGAAGUAUUUCGGUAUGUAAAGCUCUAUCAGCAGGGAAGAAGAUGACGGUACCUGAUUAAGAAGCCCCGGCUAACUACGUGCCAGCAGCCGCGGUAAUACGUAGGGGGCAAGCGUUAUCCGGAUUCACUGGGUGUAAAGGGAGCGUAGACGGCGACGCAAGUCUGGAGUGAAAGCCCGGGGCUCAACCCCGGGACUGCAUUUGAAACUGUCAGGCUGGAGUGCGGGAGAGGUAAGUGGAAUUCCUAGUGUAGCGGUGAAAUGCGUAGAUAUUAGGAGGAACACCAGUGGCGAAGGCGGCUUACUGGACUGUAACUGACGUUGAGGCUCGAAAGCGUGGGGAGCAAACAGGAUUAGAUACCCUCGUAC